UACGUAGGGGGGCAAGCGUUGUCCGGAUUUAUUGGGCGUAAAGAGCGUGUAGGCGGCCAGGUAGGUCUGCUGUGAAAACUCGAGGCUCAACCUCGAGACGCCGGCGGAAACCAUCUGGCUAGAGUCCGGAAGAGGAGAGUGGAAUUCCUGGUGUGAGCGGUGAAAUGCGCAGAGUAUCAGGAAGAACACCCCGUGGCGAAGGCGGCUCUCUGGGACGGUACUGACGCUGAGACGCGAAAGCGUGGGGAGCGAACAGG
rnacentral:rRNA from 1 species